rnacentral:misc_RNA from 1 species
AUUGGUUUGUGAACAUUAGCAGCCUUGUAUCUGUUGACAUCAGAAAUGGCAUGUUGACUGGAAGGAUUCCACUGGGUUUUGGUGAAUUACCAAAUUUGCAGUCAUUGAAGCUUAAUUAUAAUUUCGAACUCCCAGCAAGCUGCUUCCAACUAUUUUCAAGAAGCUGGAAAAAGAUACAAGUUCUUGAUUUAUCUAUCACUGAGCUACAUGGUAGACUUCCUGCUCUUCUUGGAAAUAUGACAUCUCUCAUUCAAUUUGAUUUACACUUCAAUUAUAUUGAGGGUGGCAUUCCAAGCUCCAUUGGUAAGCUUUCUAAUUUGCAGUACAUUGACUUGUCGUUAAACAACUUGACCGGAAGUUUACCAGAUUCAAUUGGCCAGCUCAAGAAUCUUGUCAAGCUUCGGUUGAACAAUAACUUGCUUCAAGGUUCCAUUCCUUCUUCUAUUGGAAACUUACAGCAUUUGACUACCCUCACGCUUGCGUCAAAUAAGCUAAAUGGUACUCUGCCUGAUAGCAUUGGACUGCUCUCUGAGUUGUCUUCCCUUGAUGUUUCUCUCAAUAAAU